UGGGUUGUGGCUCAGUGGUAGAGCGCUCGCCUAGUAUGUUUGAAGCACUGGGUUCAAUUCUCAGCACCACAU
rfam:Ictidomys tridecemlineatus contig059872, whole genome shotgun sequence.